rnacentral:rRNA from 1 species
GAUGAACGCUGGCGGCGUGCCUAAUACAUGCAAGUCGAGCGAACGGACGAGAAGCUUGCUUCUCUGAUGUUAGCGGCGGACGGGUGAGUAACACGUGGAUAACCUACCUAUAAGACUGGGAUAACUUCGGGAAACCGUAGCUAAUACCGGAUAAUAUUUUGAACCGCAUGGUUCAAAAGUGAAAGACGGUCUUGCUGUCACUUAUAGAUGGAUCCGCGCUGCAUUAGCUAGUUGGUAAGGUAACGGCUUACCAAGGCAACGAUGCAUAGCCGACCUGAGAGGGUGAUCGGCCACCCUGGAACUGAGACACGGUCCAGACUCCUACGGGAGGCAGCAGUAGGGAAUCUUCCGCAAUGGGCGAAAGCCUGACGGAGCAACGCCGCGUGAGUGAUGAAGGUCUUCGGAUCGUAAAACUCUGUUAUUAGGGAAGAACAUAUGUGUAAGUAACUGUGCACAUCUUGACGGUACCUAAUCAGAAAGCCACGGCUAACUACG